rnacentral:misc_RNA from 1 species
AUGGACUACUAGGGUUUCUAAUCCUGUUUGCUCCCCACGCUUUCGCGUCUCAGCGUCAGUAAAUGUCCAGGUGGCCGCCUUCGCCACUGAUGUUCCUCCCGAUAUCUACGAAUUUCACCUCUACACCGGGAAUUCCGCCACCCUCUCCAUUACUCAAGACAAGCAGUUUCGGAUGCAGUUCCUAGGUUGAGCCCAGGGAUUUCACAACCGACUUGCGAGUCCGCCUACACGCGCUUUACGCCCAGUAAAUCCGAGCAACGUUUGCACCCUCUGUAUUACCGCGGCUGCUGGCACAGAGUUAGCCGGUGCUUGCUAAGGAGGUACCGUCAGUGCGCAAGCAUUUCCUCAUGCGCAUGUUCGUCUCUCCCCACAGUGCUUUACGACCCGAAGGCCUUCAUCA